rnacentral:lncRNA from 1 species
CAUCUAUUUUUCCUGGGAUUCUGGGUGUUCUGUUCGUGAAACAGAAGUAUGGUUUCAACAGUGCUUAUUAGCGCUUAAUCAGCGGUUUAGUCUAACCUUCUUUGUACCUGGGAGUGAGAGAAGGGUUGUGUCGCUACAGGUCUGUGAAGAAAGGCGGGUAUCCUCGGAGCCUGUUCAGGAGAACRGUGGUUUCAGACCCGGUGGGGGAAGCUUCCAGUGAUAUGGAGGCCGUGGCUGAACAGCGCGGGCUGCACGUGUGCCCAGAAACCACCACUGCUGAUGCACAAAACAGGACAAGUGUUUGUGGGAGAAAAUUUUCACCACUAAACUCCUGCUGUUCACAUAAGAGAAAAAAGGAAGUGAGUGCAUUAAGAAGAUCUUCCCAUUAAAGAGCUUAGAGGCCUUCCCAAGAAGGAAGUGAAAGACUGCCCCUGACCUCCAGAAUUUCUGAUUCCAGGAAGAUGCCUUGCAGCAUGGCUUUUCACCAUCAGAUUGUGCUCCAGGAGGGGGAUCCAAAACUCUUGAACAGUCAAUUGAUAUUGUCUGUUCCAGACGAUUGAUAACUUUCAAGACCGAUUUCUAGCAAAAGCUCUCUCUGUCACAUCUACUUUCCCAAAUAUAACACAAGGUCAAGGAUAGGGUUAGGAAUAAAACUCAGUUACUUUAACA